GUCUCUUUAGUAUAAUAAAUAUAAAUGACUUCCAAUCAUUUGACCUUAGUUUAACCUAAGAAAAGACA
rnacentral:tRNA from 1 species